rnacentral:rRNA from 1 species
AAGAGCUCGUAGGCGGUUUGUCGCGUCUGCCGUGAAAGUCCGAGGCUCAACUUCGGAUCUGCGGUGGGUACGGGCAGACUAGAGUGAUGUAGGGGAGACUGGAAUUCCUGGUGUAGCGGUGAAAUGCGCAGAUAUCAGGAGGAACACCGAUGGCGAAGGCAGGUCUCUGGGCAUCUACUGACGCUGAGGAGCGAAAGCAUGGGGAGCGAACAGGAUUAGAUACCCUGGUAGUCCAUGCCGUAAACGUUGGGCACUAGGUGUGGGGGACAUUCCACGUUUUCCGCGCCGUAGCUAACGCAUUAAGUGCCCCGCCUGGGGAGUACGGCCGCAAGGCUAAAACUCAAAGGAAUUGACGGGGGCCCGCACAAGCGGCGGAGCAUGCGGAUUAAUUCGAUGCAACGCGAAGAACCUUACCAAGGCUUGACAUGUGCUAGAUCGCCAUAGAAAUAUGGUUUCCCCUUUGGGGCUGGUUCACAGGUGGUGCAUGGUUGUCGUCAGCUCGUGUCGUGAGAUGUUGGGUUAAGUCCCGCAACGAGCGCAACCCUCGUUCUAUGUUGCCAGCACGUUAUGGUGGGGACUCAUAGGAGACUGCCGGGGUCAACUCGGAGGAAGGUGGGGACGACGUCAAAUCAUCAUGCCCCUUAUGUCUUGGGCUUCACGCAUGCUACAAUGGCCGGUACAAUGGGUUGCGAUACUGUGAGGUGGAGCUAAUCCCAAAAAGCCGGUCUCAGUUCGGAUUGGGGUCUGCAACUCGACCCCAUGAAGUCGGAGUCGCUAGUAAUCGCAGAUCAGCAACGCUGCGGUGAAUACGUUCCCGGGCCUUGUACACACCGCCCGUCAAGUCACGAAAGUUGGUAACACCCGAAGCCGGUGGCCUAACCCCUUGUGGGAGGGAGCCGUCGAAGGUG